ACGGCGACCAGCAUGUACGCAUCCAGCCAUGCUUGCUUCAUGGAUGUUGUGGGGGCUGAAAACAUGUCAGUUUUCCUGUAGUAAAAUUUCGAGCAUGUUAAUUGCGAUUGCACAGUUCUGAGGAGCCAGUUGUAAAGCUGUAAUGGGGGGAUAGCAUGUCGCUGUGAUUUGCAGGUAAAUGGGCGAGUUCAAAACUGUAGAAGGUUUGAAGUGCAGCUCUGUUUCACUCUGAGCUGAUCCACCAUCAGGGAUGUCUUCAGAGAUCUCAUCAGCCGGGGACCCGGACGAAAUCUGGGAGCUCAUUUAAAUUUGCUCUGCCAGAAUACGGUCUGGAUCCCCUCCAUUGCUGGUUUCCUUGGUGAUGGAGCUUAGUAGCGUCACAUUUGCAGGGACGGGGGUGUGUAUGUGACAACUCGUAUACACACAGAGAGCAUGCAGCAAAGGCAUGCUCACACUCAUAACACACAGAGAAAUGAAUGCUUCUCUUCAUAAGGAAAUUAAUCAUCCAAUGAUUUGCACGAGGUGAUUCACUGUUUGUAGAGUAGAUAUACUAUA